GUCGUGUAAGUGGGACAUCGUUUGCGGUGGCGUCUUUUUGUAACUGUUGUUGACACCGAAGCUAGUAUCACGGACAAGACCAAUCGCUUCCACUUCGGCAUAAUUGCGAACAAAACUGCAUCGCAAAGGAGACAGUAAACCAUGGACAUCUCCGUGAUUUUGGCAGUUGUAUCCCACGAAUGUAUCACAAGCGGCUGCGGCAUCUCGGACGAAACAAUGAAACGCCUGCUUUUGUAAUCGGGACCUUAUGGAGUGGACAGGAGUGUGCCGGGAAAUGAUUCAGAGUCACCAGUGCCUUUUCCAACGCUGCCAGGCGCUCCACAUUUUUGUAUAUGUUUCUCUCGAAAACAAGUAUUUAGACAGUGCUUUCGACGCACACAACCAAGUAUAGAUCCGUCGAUCCAUUUUCUGUCCCGACAUUCACUGCAUGUCUGGACCUGCGCCGAUGAGGUUUUCAUCCUGUCUACGUAGUUUUCAAUUUCCCUGGCACCAAGGUUAGACGCACUGAUGGAGAUGCAACGAGUUCAUGUUUCAGAGGGUGUGUAAAAGAUGUCUUAUA
rnacentral:lncRNA from 1 species